GCGCCGGUGGUGUAAGGUGAACAUCGCUGUACGGAACGCAGAAGAUGCGGGUUCGAGUCCCGCCUUGCGCA
rnacentral:tRNA from 1 species